GACCAGAUUAUCCCUAUGUUAUUAGUCCAUCCAAUCUAAAGUCAAUGAGCUAUACUUGAUAAGUAGAUGGACAAUGACAAUAAAGAUAGGUGCUGAAAGUUGACAUUCAUAUCAGAUGAAUUCCAACAUAAGCAUGAGGACAUGUAUACUUCCAAGCACAUGCUGACUCAUUUGAAAGAGUUGUGAGAUGAUCAGAGUCGCACAAUGCAUAAGAUGCAUGAUGGAUAG
rnacentral:lncRNA from 1 species